GCAAUCCAGCACUCUGUUCUGAAGAGCCAAGUGAUUCAGGAUCUCACUCAGUCUGACCAGAGGGCUUACUCUCUUUUACCUGAAAGGGAAACCGGGACUAUAGCUGCAUCAGCAUUGAUAAAGAUAACUGUCUAUGUAAACCUCCUUAUAUCAUCAAAGUAAUUCCCAUACUUGGAAAGCACACAGACCAGUACCCUGAAUAGUCCUGCUCUUCUGGCAAUCACUCCGCUGAUUCGAUUGUGAGUAAUCUUGUGAAGGAGCUGAGCCAGAAGAGGAAGCAUUUAGCUCCUCUGUGCUGAACACACAACUCUUGGAUAGGUGAAAGGGCCAUGAACCACCUUCUGACCCAGCCAUCAGCCUACUUGCCAAUGACUGAGCCAGAAAUCGUAAGGUAGAAAGAGCCGAGUUCCACCUUGUUUCUAGCCCACCUCCUGUACGUCAACAGACGGAAGCAGAGGCUGUGCUAUAUCCUGCCAUUCUGUCAUUAAGUUACCUGAUUGCUAAAAGAACCCCUGUUUGCACAGGCCGCCUUAUGUCUUUAGAUGGGAACUUUCCUUCUCGUAACUUGAUAUCCUCCUUCCAUAAGUUGGUUUGUGGCCUUAUAUUCUGUCCUUCCUACCAAAAUUGAUCCUCAUCUCGGUAGGGCUUUUGUGUACCUCCAUAGGACCUCUUCUCAGCCACCUUAAGGGCCAAAUAUGCAAAGCUUCCUGAAUCUUUCUCUUCUGUGCCUGCCCCAAUUAAUCUUCCUGUGGUCUCUUUCCAAAACUAGAGUAGCCUAUUUUAACUCUGUUCAGCUCCUUGAGCAGUUUCCAAACAGCAAUCAAACCAAGGCAUCAGAUAAUUAAAUCAUUCUCUCUCAUCUGUUUUUAAUAAAUUCCCUUGGUCAAACAUCCAAAGCCCUUAUUUGCUCUAGCAGCUGCUAGAUCUGCAUCCAUAACUUCAUAUUUGCUGCUAUUCCUAGGACUGAAGUCUCUCACUUACUUCAGUCUCUAUUCUAGUAAGUCACUGUUUGUUACCAGAGAAAAAUCUUCAUCAUGCGACUAAGCCAAAGGACAUUCCUGGAAGACCUCAGAGACAAAUCCCUAACAAAACUGUUUAACCAAACAACACUCUUAGUCAUAUGAUUUAGUUUCAGGUAGUCCUGUGAAAUGCAGGGAAUUUGACUUGGUGAUCCUUAGGGGUCCCUUCCAACUUGAGAUAGUCUAAGAUUCUACCAUCCUAUUUAAAAAAUUUUCCACGAAAAAGGUUUUAUUGUUGUUGAGAAAAGUCAUUUGAUUGAAACAAGAAUUUUGGGCAGAAAUGAUAAGUUUAGACUAGAAUGGUAAAAGAUUCUCAGUCCACACUGGACAAAAUUUGGAAAUAACACCCAAAAUACAGCCUUGUCUAUGGGUUUUCAUUAAAAAAAUAAAUAGCAUCUUGGUCUUUAACUAAUAAAGAAUCCAAAGUUUUGAAAUCUUACAUAAUAGAAAACGAUUUUUCAUCAGUUUUAAUAUUUUAGCUGUGAAGCCUUUAAGAAGCAGCUAUUUACUGAGCCAUAAAUAACUGUAAAAGAUGAAGGACAAGAAGCAGCAGCAGAUGGAGCCUUCCCUCUCAUCAAGAGAAACCCAUAAACACGUCUCUAGGAGGAAGCUGGAAUGAGGUUUGACUGUGCCCAUGCCCCACUUGAGUCCCAUGUCUGUUCUUACCAUGAACAAGGGCUGAAAAUCCUGUUCUCCAUCUCUACAGCGGAAUUGCAUCACAAUAAUGUCAUUUUGUGCUCAGAUUCUGCCU